CGGGGGAUAUUGCACAAUGGGCGAAAGCCUGAUGCAGCGACGCCGCGUGGGGGAUGAAGGCCUUCGGGUUGUAAACUUCUUUUGCUCUGAACAAGGCGCACCAUGGGGUGUGUUGAGUGUAGGGGUUGAUUAGCGCCGGCUAACUACGUGCCAGCAGCCGCGGUAAUACGUAGGGCGCGAGCGUUGUCCGGAAUUAUUGGGCGUAAAGGGCUUGUAGGUGGCUGGUUGCGUCUGUCGUGAAAGCUCAUGGCUUAACUGUGGGUUUGCGGUGGGUACGGGCUGGCUGGAGUGCAGUAGGGGAGGCUGGAAUUCCUGGUGUAGCGGUGGAAUGCGCAGAUAUCAGGAGGAAUACCGGUGGCGAAGGCGGGUCUCUGGGCUGUUACUGACACUGAGGAGCGAAAGCAUGGGGAGCGAACAGG
rnacentral:rRNA from 1 species